CGAAUCAAGUCAAGUAUUCAAGUGAAACUCAUAAACUGCAAGCAAAAACAAAACUGCUAUCGGUUCUAUCUGCCUGCGUCGUUGCGAUGGAGCAAACCCUAACCCUAACCCCAGAACCAGAGGCAGAGCGUGAAGUGAUGCGUGACUCAGCCAAUUCCGAUUCCGAUUCCGAUUCGGAAGACGAAGCUCAGCAGAAUCUUCAACUAGAAGCCCUCGAGACUGAGCUUGCUGCCAACCCCUCCAACUACGAUUCUCAUUUGCAG
rnacentral:lncRNA from 1 species